rnacentral:rRNA from 1 species
UCCUACGGGUGGCUGCAGUGGGGAAUAUUGCACAAUGGGCGGAAGCCUGAUGCAGCGACGCCGCGUGGGGGAUGACGGCCUUCGGGUUGUAAACUCCUUUCACCAUCGACGAAGGUUUUCUGACGGUAGAUGGAGAAGAAGCACCGGCUAACUACGUGCCAGCAGCCGCGGUAAUACGUAGGGUGCGAGCGUUGUCCGGAAUUACUGGGCGUAAAGAGCUCGUAGGUGGUUUGUCGCGUCGUCUGUGAAAUUCCGGGGCGUAACUCCGGGAUGGCAGGCUAUACGGGCAUAACUUGAGGACUGUAGGGGGGACGGGAAUUCCUGGUGUAGCGGUGAAAUGCGCAGAUAUCAGGAGGAACACCGGUGGCGAAGGCGGGUCUCUGGGCAGUAACUGACGCUGAGGAGCGAAAGCAUGGGUAGCGAACAGGAUUAGAUACCCGUGUAGUCCA